GAGAAUCUGCCUGAAAUGGAAUAUUUUUCUUGAUUUGUGUGUGUGUACGCGCGUGUCAAAUUCCGACGUGUUUCACGUAUUUUGGCUCCAUGUUCUACCUAAUUAUUGCAAUUUGAUCCUAAAGCAGGAGUGGCCUAAUCCUCUGCUGUACUGCAGAAAUCCUGCUUCAGAAACUUUGCUAAUACAGUUGGCCUGUUUUAAUAGAGACUGGGAAAGUAGCGCGGCGGCGGCAGAAGGACGGCCUCCGCGGGAAGCUCCUCUCUUUCCUUCUAUGCAAAUUCACGGGAGAAGACGGCGAGGCAGCUCGCAGGCUGUUGGAAGGAAGUUGUGGAGGAGGAAAGCCGAACUCUGUUCCCGUCUCCGUCGCCCGAAGUCGGCAUGUGCGUGAGCGAGCCCCCGUGGUUACGUAACUACAACCUCAUUACGUGUUUAGGUGCUCAGGUUGUUUCAGGAGACACAUGUCCUCGUUUAGGCAAGCCUCAAGUCGUAUUGUUUCAUCCAGGGUUUCCACCAGCUGGUGGUCUUUGUCUCAUCAGAGAGAGCGACGGAGAAGAUCCUGAUCCUGUGAGGUGAUACUUCUGGUGAAGCGGUCCUUUUUGAACAAUCACUGUGGACACAAAAACCUGAGAACGGCAACAAACGGGAUUUCCAAGAUCAACUUUUCUCAUGUAAGCAUGUAACAGAACCCAGAACCUUCCUUCGGUUCAAGCUGGGGCCUUGAGAAGAUGGAUCUGGAGCGGUCGUCUGAUGGAGUUUCUGAUACUUCACGGUGGAAUCUAAGACAAUAAUGGCUGUUUUUCCUGCUGGGAACAUUUUCCAGAGUCACUCCACUCUUCCUCGAAUUUCAGAAGGAUUUCUGAAGGCCUUGCGGGGAAACUUGGACCCCAUGUUGGGAAUCACUCGCAGCCUCUUUGAGGCGAUGCCUCUGGUGGUUCUCGGUAAAGUGGCAUGUCGUCGGCUCUGCAGGCGUGUCAGGACCACGACGCGGUGGCGUGACAUCACAGACUGAGCUGUUCUGGAGACGACCGCGUAAAGAUUCUGGUGUCACAUAAAUCAGGAGUGUUG
ensembl:lncRNA